rnacentral:rRNA from 1 species
UACGGGGGGGGCAAGCGUUGUUCGGAAUUACUGGGCGUAAAGGGUUUGUAGGUGGCUCGCUAAGUCAGACGUGAAAUCCCUCAGCUUAACUGGGGAACUGCGUCUGAUACUGGAUGGCUUGAAUCCGGGAGAGGGAUGCAGAAUUCCAGGUGUAGCGGUGAAAUGCGUAGAUAUCUGGAGGAAUACCGGUGGCGAAGGCGGCAUCCUGGACCGGCAUUGACGCUGAGACGCGAAAGCGUGGGGAGCGAACAGG